CAACUCCUCCUAUCAAACCACCGCCGGUCCAACCACCUACGUACAAACCCCCAACUCCAUCCGUUAAACCACCCACGACACAACCAGUUAAACCACCGCCGGUACAACCCCCUACGUACAAACCCCCAACGUCACCGGUUAAACCACCCACCACAACUCCACCGGUCCAACCACCUACGUACAAACCCCCAACGUCGCCAGUUAAACCACCCACCACGACGCCACCGGUCCAACCACCUACGUACAAACCCCCAACGCCACCAGUUAAACCACCCACGACACCACCAGUCAAACCACCGACACCACCGGUCAAACCUCCGACACCACCUCCCGUAAGAACUCG
rnacentral:lncRNA from 1 species